rnacentral:rRNA from 1 species
UACGAAGGUCCCGAGCGUUGUUCGGAAUCACUGGGCGUAAAGGGAGCGUAGGCGGCGUGGUAAGUCAGAUGUGAAAUCCCGGGGCUCAACCCCGGAACUGCAUCCGAUACUGCCAUGCUAGAGGAUUGGAGAGGUAGCUGGAAUUCUUGGUGUAGCAGUGAAAUGCGUAGAGAUCAAGAGGAACACUCGUGGCGAAAGCGAGCUACUGGACAAUUCCUGACGCUGAGGCUCGAAGGCCAGGGUAGCGAAAGGG